GGGAGAGGGGCCAGCACUGCCCAACAGCACCUCUGGUAAAGCUCUUUCCUUGCCUCGUCGGGACUGGAAGUAUUAGGCUCGUCCCAUGGGAGAAGAAGUGGUCCUCAGGGGCGCUGCGUGAUCGAGGACUCCAAGAGCUCCCCUUUGGGCCACUGAGAUCUGCACCUUGGCCUCCUAAGGUGGUCUGAACAGAUCACCACAGAUGCAGUGGCCUAAAGUCGCAGAAAUGUACUCUCCUGCUAUCCUGGGGGCUACAAGUCUCAAAUCCAGGUGUCAGCAGGGCCACACACUCUUCGAAAUUUCCAUAGGACACUGAGUCUCUUCCAGUUUCUCGGGGCUCCAGGAGGUUCCGGGCUUGUGAUGGCACGACUCCAGUCACACAGCCUUCUCCCCUGUGUCUCUGUGUCCUCUCUUAUUUGUAUAAGGGCUCACCACUGCCUUCAGGGGGAGCUCAUCUCAAGAUCCUUAACUACAUCCGCAAAGACACUUUUCCCCAAAUAAAUUCAGUCACAGGGACUGGAAGUUAGGACACGGUGUUGUCUUUUUAGGGGAUGCCGUUCAGCCCAAUACGAUGUCUUUCCUCCUACUGGGGACCUUGCACGGUCCCUCAAUUUCUCACCACCUCUCAGCUGCCUGGCAGAGGGACUCCUACGGCAUGUUGCCCCACUAGGUUGUUUAGGGAGGAGAUAGGAGGCUAUAGCCACGUGGGGACCUUGCUGUGGGGGUGAGUUGGGGGACUCACCUCCUUUGGAUUCCUGUCCCAGCACCUCCCAGUCUGCCUAUUGCUGUUUCAACAGCACCCUUUGUGCCUCUUUCUCUAACGCCUCUCCACUAUGGGGUACCUAUGGGAGAGAUGCCCUCUAGGAGGACGUGCUCACUGCGCCCUAUGCCCCAGCCUCUCUGCUAAUGCCCGGCCCGACAGCCACCAAGCUGUGAGGAGUGACAAAGCUUUGUAUUCCUUACAGAGAUCUCAGCCGCCCAGGCGACCCCUCCCCAGGUGUGGAUGCGGUCCUCAGAGCAGGAUCGAGGGAACUGAGACUGAGCUGCACUUCCUACCUGAGUGGGGGGCCACCUGUGCACAUGGCCAGCGCUUCCCUGGGUUUCUCCUUCUGCUGUCCCCCUGAGCUCCAUGCACCAGGUGUGGACGCAGCACCUGCUGGAGGUGAGUCAAGCUCUCCAGGAGGAGUGCAGGGGGAUGGGGGGCCUCCUCCACUCAGCCCGGGGUUAUCUGCUCUCAGUCCGAGGCUGCAGCCUCUCCUCCAGGACUAACUGCCUUUAAGGACUGCCCUCCCCACCCCAGCAAAGGCCCACUGCCCCGCUGAACCCGGAGACCCCUCCUCCCCGACCCCCAGCUCUUUCUCAGCCCCCAGGUCCCAGUUGUCUGCAAGCUCCAGGCAAAACCUGGACUCUCUUUCCAGAGCCACAUGCCAACGCACCACCUUUGACACAGCAGUGCCCCACCUGAGAGUCUACCCUAAGGGAAUAACCCUCAAAAACUGAAAAAGCUGGGCGGCCCCGGUGGCUCAGUGGUUUAAGUGCCACCUUCAGCCUGGGGUAUGAUCCUGGAGACCCGGGAUCGAGUCCCGAGUCCCGCGUCAGGCUCCCUGCAUGGAGCCUGCUUCUCCCUCUGCCUGUGUCUCUGCUUCUCUCUCUCUGUUUCUCAUGAAUAAAUAAAUAAAAUCUUAAAACAAAAACUGAAAAAGCUCUUGGAACAAAGUAUUUCUGAAAGCAGGGAACUGGAAGCAGCUGGGGAGCAGCAGCACGCCCAUUGUAAAAGCUAAUUGUGAGCACGAUUGCAACACCGGGAAUCGCUAAAGAUACAGCGUUGAGUGCAAAAUUGCAUUGGGCGGGAGUUCAGCGGUGGAAAAGUUGUAUAUUUGCCCCUACAAGGGCCAGACGGGGAAAAAAAAAAAAGAGAAAAAAAAAAAAGAAAAGAAAACCAGUAUGCCC
rnacentral:lncRNA from 1 species